AUUACAUGAUGAAAGAAGUGUGCUAGUCACCAUCUCUAGAGAGCAGACAGAGAUGAAGAAAAAUAAAAUGAUUUGCCAAAAACAGAGAUGGGAAAUGGAAGAAGAGCCUGGGACUUGGUUUGGGUUCCCAAGUAACAGCCCAGCUCCUUUCCUCGCUCUGGAUUUCUGCCCUGCUUCCCUUUGAGUAUAUCCAGUCACAGCAUCAUACCUCCCGGGGAGGAUCUGCUUAUGUGCAGACAGAACCAUGUCUGCCUUUCAUAUCCUUGUAUUUGAUUAUGUUCUCCAGGGAUGUCUGACAACUACACAAAAGACCACAACAUUUGAUGAUUACGGAAAGAAUAAGGGAGAGGAACAAGAGAGAGGAAAAGCUGAAACAGGCUUUGAAAUAUGUUUUUGUUCUAGUAGAAGCAAAUUACCUCCAAAAUAUGGAAAUGAAGACACAGGGGCAGGAAAGUAGUGCAAAGAGAAUGCUUUUUU